rnacentral:lncRNA from 10 species
GUUUUACAAAGGGCUGCUUGCCCUUACUUGCCUUUACUGUGUUGCUUCAGUUCUCCGAUCUUCCCCACUGUGAGGACAUAGCAAGAAGGCACCUUCCACAAGCCAGGAGGAAACAGGAUGUACUGGCACCCUGAUCUUGAACUACCACCCUCCAGAACUAGAUAUUUUCACAGUUGGAUAAGAUGCUUCUUAGAUGAUCACCAAUACUCCAUGCCUACUCAUCAGUCCAGCCACUUGAAACAAUCACCAGUACAACAGGACCGCCAUAUCUCCAUGAUAUGAAAUGAAGAGCUCAUCCACGUGCCAGGAAGGUGGUGCACCCCAGCUGAAUGGGAACAGAAGUUCCUGUGCUCAGGACCCUUCUAGACUUCACUUUAUGUAUCUUUUUAUCUGGAUAUUUAUUCAUAUCCUUUCAAAUACCCUUCAUAAUAAAUCAGUAAACGUGUUUCCCUGAGUUCUGUGAGCCACUCCAGCAAAUUAAUCGAACCCAAAGGUGGGGGGAGGAGGUUCACGGGAACCCCAAUUUGAAGCCAGUCAGUCCGAAGUUCCAGAAGCCUGGACUUGCAACCGGGGGGAAGGAGGGGAUGGGCUUGUGGGAGUAAGCUCCUAACCUGUGGGAUCUGAUGAUUUAUCUGGGUAGAUAGUUGGAAUUAAAUUAGAGGACACCCAGCUGGGUCCUCCUGCAGAAUUGACUGCUUGCUUGCUGGAGGGGGAAAAUAAACACAUAUUUUUGGAUCACAGAA